UGGAAGAUGAUGUUGCAAGGGUGGCCGAGAAGCAGCUGGGCUGAGCUGUUAAAAGCACAGAGACCGGGGCCAGACUCCUCAGCCUGAAAUCCUGCUUCCAUCAAGCACUAGCUGGGUAAUUUCAGAAAAACUCCCCAGAUCUUCAAAUACAAUCAGCUCUCCACCAAGAUGUUCUUUGUUUGUGCUGUGGUUUCUCACCUCCUUGGGGAAACCACAGCACCCCCAUUUGAGGAAUACAGUUGAUCAAGUCGGGAGGCCAACAGCUGUCUUUGAAAGAACAGUCUAGUGCUCUGCAAAUGUGUGCUGUCUUCUGUGUCUGCUUGUCUGCUCCCUGGAUGUGUCACCUUGGAAGGUUUAUUUAUCUCCUCUGAUCCCAGUCAUUUUCCUGAUUUGAAAAAUACAUCGGUGGACAGGAGAACAUGUGAAGAUUGAAUGAACUAAUGCAGUGAAUAAACUUACAGCAACGACUGGCACAA